rnacentral:lncRNA from 1 species
UUUGAGGACCAGUGGAUGGAGUGCCACGAUAAUCCAGAUGACCCAACAGGACCAGCCAAAAUUGGCAUUCUCAGAGCCCUCCUGGAUGCCGAGCAGAUCUUGAUGUAUCUCAGCACUUCUCUGAAGCCUUCCAAACAGGCAGUCUUGCUGGACCAGAGGCUAGACAAAAUAAAGGCCUCAUUACUCAUAGCAAACCAAAAAAAGAAGAAAAUGCAGCCCAAGAAUGCCAUGGUUACAAGGAUUAGAUGCAAUGGUGGUUAAUUUGCUUUGCACACCCAGUGCUCAUGGUGAACAGUUGUGUCUGAGCAAGAUCUUGACCUGGUCUCUGAUCUGUUUGAGCUUCUGCAGAAUAUUUCAGACCUACGGGAGGAAGAGAAAAAAAGCCUGGUGAGAUCUUUCCAUGUCCGCGAUCCAUCAAAUACCAGCUUUACUCAGCAGGACAAUCCAGUAUCACUUUUCAUCUGAGAUCUUUCCUGUAUCCCCAUAGGAGAAGGGGAAGAGAGCACCUGGGCCUGGAUGUUAUUCUCAACUGUAAAAAAUUGCUUGACAAUGGAUUGUGAACUACACACUGUGCUGGAGUUAAAGUAAAACACCAAAUUUCUCCAAUAGUCUAAAUACUUGAUAUUGAAAAAUAAGUGUGUAUCAGUGUCUGAAUCUAACAUUAAACAGAGGCCUUCUAGGGAGCAUAGC